CAGUCGCCGCGGGAAUACGUAGGGUGCGAGCGUUAAUCGGAAUUACUGGGCGUAAAGCGUGCGCAGGCGGUUUGUUAAGACAGAUGUGAAAUCCCCGGGCUCAACCUGGGAACUGCAUUUGUGACUGGCAGGCUAGAGUAUGGCAGAGGGGGGUGGAAUUCCGCGUGUAGCAGUGAAAUGCGUAGAUAUGCGGAGGAACACCGAUGGCGAAGGCAGCCCCCUGGGCCAAUACUGACGCUCAUGCACGAAAGCGUAGGGAGCAAACAGGAUUAGAUACCCGCGUAGUCCCUGUCUCUUAUAA
rnacentral:rRNA from 1 species